UGUGAUCACAGGCAACUCAGGAACAGCUCUCCAGCCCCAGGACUUCUGCUGGAACCGCUGGGAGUUGGAAGCUUUCUUCCCACUGAGGGGCAAACCUUCUAGGUAUCUGAAGAUGUUGAAGACCAUUUCCUGGAACAGCAGAGGUAAAUGCCCAGAGGAUGAGAACACAUAGCCAUUAGGAGAGCCUGAAAGUUCAGUGUGACUGAAAGAUGAAGUUCAAGAGAAGGGACAAACUGCAAAACACAAGCUGGAGAGUUUUAGAGAGACUGUGGAAUGGAAUGACUCUCCAGAGCUGCAGAUUGAAGGCAUAUUUUCAUCUGACUUUGGUGAUUAUGUUUCCAAUCUCUCUGGGAAUAAGAUCUCAAUGGCGGGAACACCUUCAUGGCCCCUUUAUAGCUGGAUGAUCAUUUCCUGUUCUCUCCACCAUGGCCACCUGGUCCAAGCCACCAUCUUCAUGCACCUGGAUACCUGCCAUAACCUCAGCUGACCUUUCCUGUGUCCAUUCUUGUUCCUUUGGGCCCAGUCUCCUCG
rnacentral:lncRNA from 1 species